UACGUAGGGGGCAAGCGUUGUCCGGAUUUAUUGGGCGUAAAGAGCGUGUAGGCGGUUAGGUAGGUCCGUUGUGAAAACUCGAGGCUCAACCUCGAGACGCUCGAGUGAAACCAUCUGACUAGAGUCCGGAAGAGGAGAGUGGAAUUCCUGGUGUAGCGGUGAAAUGCGCAGAUAUCAGGAAGGAACACCCGUGGCGUAAGGCGGGCU
rnacentral:rRNA from 1 species